CAGUCGCCGCGGUAAUACGUAGGUCCUGAGCGUUGUCCGGAUUUAUUGGGCGUAGAGCGAGCGCAGGCGGUUAGAUAAGUCUGAAGUUAAAGGCUGUGGCUUAACCAUAGUACGCUUUGGAAACUGUUUAACUUGAGUGCAAGAGGGGAGAGUGGAAUUCCAUGUGUAGCGGUGAAAUGCGUAGAUAUAUGGAGGAACACCGGUGGCGAAAGCGGCUCUCUGGCUUGUAACUGACGCUGAGGCUCGAAAGCGUGGGGAGCAAACAGGAUUAGAUACCCGCGUAGUCCCUGUCUCUUAUACA
rnacentral:rRNA from 1 species